rnacentral:rRNA from 1 species
UACGUAGGGACCGAGCGUUGUCCGGAUUCAUUGGGCGUAAAGAGCUCGUAGGCGGCCACUCAAGUCGAAUGUGAAACCUCGAGGCUUAACCUCGAGCCUGCAUUCGAUACUGGGCGGCUAGAGUCUGGUAGGGGGAUCUGGAAUUCCUGGUGUAGCGGUGGAAUGCGCAGAUAUCUGGAGGAACACCGGUGGCGAAGGCGGCAUCCUGGACCGACACUGACGCUGAGGCGCGAAAGCUAGGGUAGCAAACGGG